UACAGAGGGUGCAAGCGUUAAUCGGAAUUACUGGGCGUAAAGCGCGCGUAGGUGGUUUGUUAAGUUGGAUGUGAAAUCCCCGGGCUCAACCUGGGAACUGCAUUCAAAACUGACAAGCUAGAGUAUGGUAGAGGGUGGUGGAAUUUCCUGUGUAGCGGUGAAAUGCGUAGAUAUAGGAAGGAACACCGGUGGCGAAGGCGGCUACCUGGACAGUGACUGACGCUGAGACGCGAAAGCAUGGGUAGCAAACAGGAUUAGAAACCCGGGUAGUCCCUGAGACUCCAAGGCACACAGGGGGAUA
rnacentral:rRNA from 1 species